rnacentral:rRNA from 1 species
AUUGAACGCUGGCGGCAGGCUUAACACAUGCAAGUCGAACGAGUGGCGGACGGGUGAGUAAUGCUUGGGAAUCUAGCUUAUGGAGGGGGAUAACUACGGGAAACUGUAGCUAAUACCGCGUACCAUAGGAUGAGCCCAAGUGGGAUUAGGUAGUUGUUGAGGUAAAGGCUAACCAAGCCGACGAUCGCUAGCUGGUCUGAGAGGAUGACCAGCCACCCUGGGACUGUGACACGGCCCAUACUCCUACGGGAGGCAGCAGUUGGGAAUAUUGCGCCAUGGGGUCAACCUGCCGCAGCCAUGCCGCGUGAAUGAAGAAGGCCUUCGGGUUGUAAAGUUCUUUCGGUAGCGAGGCGUUAACUACAGAAGAAGCACCGGCUAACUCCGUGCCAGCAGCCGCGGUAAUAC